rnacentral:rRNA from 1 species
UACAGAGGUCCCGAGCGUUGUUCGGAUUCACUGGGCGUAAAGGGUGCGUAGGUGGCAUGUUAAGUUUGAUGUGAAAGCUCAGGGCUUAACCCUGAAAUGGCAUUGAAUACUGCUGUGCUGGAGGUUUGGAGGGGGGACUGGAAUUCUUGGUGUAGCAGUGAAAUGCGUAGAUAUCAAGAGGAACACCAGUGGCGAAGGCGAGUCCCUGGACAACACCUGACACUGAGGCACGAAAGCUAGGGGAGCAAACAGG